AAUUGUGGAAGCAGCUCCAAAUAUGGAGUGACAGGGAAGGGUUUUACCAACGAAAGGGAGGUAUCCUUCUGUGACUUCUGUCGUUCUUGGUGCGUUUGUUGUCAGUCUCCAAUGGCUGGUUUGGUUUUCUAAUUUCAAUGGAGGAGAUCAAUGACUACCUUCACAACCAAGCUUUUUCUUUUGUGAAAUGGUGCCUUCUUUUAGUGGAUUUCUUUUCCCUUUUUGUUUUUGUUUUCACUUUGAUUUGUGAUUUCUGGAAUGAUUCAGUGCUUGGUCGUUUGAUUUGGAGGAUGCUGAGAAUGGAUUAAUGGUGUGUUCUAUGGUGUUUAUGUUUGAAUUUUUGAGUUUUAUUGCUUUAGAGAAUGGCUUGGAAUUAGAAAAAUUCAUUGUGCUUUUUUGGGUGUUGGAGGUGGUGGAUUAGAUUCCUUCCACAUUGAUUUGAUUCUGUUUUGCAUUUCUCAUUGAUCUAGGUGGUCAAAGCUUAUUGAGAAUUCUGCUUUUCUUUGUGUGGAGACUUUUGUGAUCCUAAUCAGGGUAGCUGUUUAAUCCUUGCUUGUUUUGCUGAUGAUUGUUGCUGAUAAAAUGUAAUUGUUCAGAUGCACAUUUGAGCAAAAAAUGGUGAAUUGCUCUAUUGUCUUUAUGUAAGAAAAAUCGCAUCUUUUCACUCCAUCUUAUUGCUUUGGGGGAAUAAUAUGCAUAAGAAACGUACCAGUGAAGUGGAUCAAGUCAAGUGAUAAGUAAAACUACACGAUAACAAGUUAUACCGGCAUCUCUUGUAGCAUCAUCAUUCAUACCUAUGUAAAUAUAAUAUUAUGUUUGUGGUUAGAUGAUACCUAUAUUCUGUGGAGUCAACUGCACUUAGGAAUUGUUCACAUUCUAAGAAAUUUUUGAGCAUAUACUUGCAGUUGAAUUUGUAGCCAGCUAGUUGGUGAUCUUGCUGGUGGAGUCACAAGUUGUACCUCAUAACUGCUUUGAAAGGAUGAUAUAUCAUAUAGGAGAAUAUAACAGAGGAGCAUCAUUUGGCCCUUAAUGUUUUGGAUGGGAUGGACUGUUGCCUUCGCAAUCAGGUUGUUACUGGUUGAAGCUGGGCUGCAAGGAUUAACCAAAAACUUUUAUGAAGAGACUUACAGUGGGUGCCGCUGCAGUUACUCCCCUCAUGCAGAAGAAGUUUUCUGAUCCUGAAUAGUUGGCAUUGUGCUUGCUAUUCAAUGUUAGCAAUGCCAAUGUUUCUCCAGCUUCAACACUCACUUUAUUUUGAUCCUCUGUCAACCUUGGCUUGAAAAAGAUUGAAAGAAGCAGUCUAAUUACACCCCCGAGACCUCUUCACUGCUUUGAUCUGAGACUCUGUCACUCGGUCAUUUCUGAGGAAUCGCUCUCCGGUACUAGUGAAAUCUAUAAUCUUCG